UCAUCACUGGUGCAUCACAGCAGCAGCAUCAAAGGACAGCUUGUGGGUAUCUCAGGGGUGCAGUCAGGUUUGAUGCCCUGAAAUUAAUCCAGAGUGAAUGGAGGCUACUCUGAGGCUGUGUAUUGUCAGAGAAGCUGGCACGGUGAGAACAUGCAAACUCCACACAGAGAGAAGGAGAGGCCUGGGCCA